rnacentral:rRNA from 1 species
GAUGAACGCUAGCUACAGGCUUAACACAUGCAAGUCGAGGGGUAGCAGGGUAGCAAUACCGCUGACGACCGGCGCACGGGUGAGUAACACGUAUCCAACCUUCCCAUAACUCAGGGAUAGCCUUUCGAAAGAAAGAUUAAUACCUGAUAGUACUUUUUUAAGGCAUCUUGAGAAAGUUAAAGAUUUAUUGGUUAUGGAUGGGGAUGCGUUCCAUUAGAUAGUUGGUGAGGUAACGGCUCACCAAGUCUUCGAUGGAUAGGGGUUCUGAGAGGAAGGUCCCCCACAUUGGUACUGAGACACGGACCAAACUCCUACGGGAGGCAGCAGUGAGGAAUAUUGGUCAAUGGGCGAGAGCCUGAACCAGCCAAGUAGCGUGAAGGAUGAAGGUUCUAUGGAUUGUAAACUUCUUUUGUAAGGGAAUAAAAAAGCCUACGUGUAGGCUAUCGUAUGUACUUUACGAAUAAGGAUCGGCUAACUCCGUGCCAGCAGCCGCAGUAAAAC